AGCAUAUCAAUAAGCGGAGGAAAAGAAACCAACAGGGAUUGCCUCAGUAACGGCGAGUGAAGCGGCAACAGCUCAAAUUUGAAAUCUGGCUCUUUCAGGGUCCGAGUUGUAAUUUGUAGAGGAUGCUUCGGCGUGGGCCCCGGUCUAAGUUCCUUGGAACAGGACGUCACAGAGGGUGAGAAUCCCGUACGUGGCCGGCGGUGCUCGCCAUGUGAAGCUCCUUCGACGAGUCGAGUUGUUUGGGAAUGCAGCUCUAAAUGGGAGGUAAAUUUCUUCUAAAGCUAAAUACCGGCCAGAGACCGAUAGCGCACAAGUAGAGUGAUCGAAAGAUGAAAAGCACUUUGGAAAGAGAGUCAAAAAGUACGUGAAAUUGUUGAAAGGGAAGCGCUUGCAACCAGACCUGACCGUAGUUGCUCAUCCGGGCUCUUGCCCGGUGCACUCUUCUGCGAGCAGGCCAGCAUCAGUUCUGGCGGUCGGAUAAAGGCGGCGGGAAUGUGGCUCCUCUCGGGGAGUGUUAUAGCCCGCCGUGUCAUGCGGCCAGCCGGGACUGAGGUCCGCGCUUCGGCUAGGAUGCUGGCGUAAUGGUUGUAAGCGGCCCGUCUUGAAACACGGACCAAGGAGUCUAACAUCUGUGCGAGUGUUUGGGUGUCAAGCCCGGGCGCGUAAUGAAAGUGAACGGAGGCGGGAACCUUUGGGUGCACCGUCGACCGAUCCUGAUGUCUUCGGAUGGAUUUGAGUAAGAGCAUAGCUGUUGGGACCCGAAAGAUGGUGAACUAUGCCUGAAUAGGGUGAAGCCAGAGGAAACUCUGGUGGAGGCUCGCAGCGGUUCUGACGUGCAAAUCGAUCGUCAAAUUUGGGCAUAGGGGCGAAAGACUAAUCGAACUAUCUAGUAGCUGGUUCCUGC
rnacentral:rRNA from 1 species